UCUGCCACUUCCCCCUAGCUGGUUCCCUCCGAAGUUUCCCUCAGGAUAGCUGGCGCUCAGAGUCUCGCAGUUUUAUCUGGUAAAGCGAAUGAUUAGAGGUCUUGGGGCCGAAACAAUCUCAACCUAUUCUCAAACUUUAAAUGGGAGAUGGAAGAGCACACGUC